GCAUAAAUGGCUGCCCACUGCUCCAGUCCUUCACUGCAGAUACGAACUGACAGUAUCCCUCCUUUCUACACGCCCUUUCCGCUGACCUUUCCUGUCUGCUUUUCUCGGUUGCAGGCAGGAGUGAUGAAGCCUCUCAGUGCUUAGGCCAGUAUGACUAAGACAGUACAAGAUUACCUGUGACAUGGGCAGGGGAACAGAGGCACUAGAGUGUUUGUUCAGUGACACGGGCAUGCUGCAGUGCAUUGUGGGGCCGGAGUCGAUGCAUGUUCCAAUGAACUGCCUCAUUCAUCUCGAUAUGACCACUCUGUGGUCUCUCUCUCUCCCUAAUGGGUAGGAACAGCUGUGUAAAAGAGCACCUCUCACUAACAUCAGCCAUUAUUUCAUUACCCUGUAUGUUGAAGUGUGCAGAGAGCCGAAGUACGUUAAUGAAGACAGCACCAUGUCAACACGGAUUGGAUGUGGCAUUUAUUACAGAUAUUACAGCCUCAAUCAUCCUGAUGCAUUACACACACGAUUGUGUGAAAUGUUGAAAGUGAGCAUGGGUUUUUAUAUUGAUUGACUUUAUUUCAUGUUAUAUAGACGGGAAAAUUCCCACCAGCUUGUUGUUUCACAGUAGAAAUGUUUUUGACGCUUCUUUGGAGAUUGGAAAAUAGCUCUUGGAUUUGCAGAGAUGUCUCUGAAUAAAUGAC
ensembl:lncRNA